AUCUCAGGGUGGUGAAACCAAAGUCAAGGAGGAGAUGGCUAGGGCCAGCAAGAGGGAACACUGAGUAACUGCUGAAGGAAAGAAACAUGAAGAGUGAAGCUGACGCUCAAGGAACAGGUGUCUCCUCCAAGCCGGGACAACCAAAUCCUGUCUCCUGGAAAUGGGAAGCUGGAAGCCUGGGAGUCACCGGGUCAGGAGACUCUCAGCCGUUCAGACAGCACGCAGUCCUUGUGGAAAGACAGUGGGGUAAGACCUCUGAGCCGCCCCGCCGCCCGCAGGCACAGAGCGCUCUGGGCC